rnacentral:rRNA from 1 species
AAACUUAAAGGAAUUGACGGGACCCGCGCAAGCAGCGGAGCGUGUGGUUUAAUUCGUUGCUACACGAAGAACCUUACCUGGGUUUGACAUAUAAGUUGUAGGGAACUGAAAAGGGACCGACCCUUCGGGGAGCUUAUACAGGUGUUGCAUGGCUGUCGUCAGCUCGUGUCGUGAGAUGUUCGGUUAAGUCCGCUAACGAGCGCAACCCUCGCCGUAUGUUACAAGUGUCAUACGGGACUGCCGGUAAAAAGCCGGAGGAAGGUGAGGAUGAUGUCAAGUCAGCAUGACCUUUAUAUCCAGGGCUACACACACGCUACAAUGGUCUGUACAAUUGGUUGCCAAGCCGCGAGGCGGAGCCAAUCCGUAAAGCAGGCCUCAGUUCAGAUUGCAGUCUGCAACUCGACUGCAUGAAGCCGGAGUUGCUAGUAACCGCAGGUCAGCAAUACUGCGGUGAAUACGUUCCCGGGUCUU